rnacentral:rRNA from 1 species
AUUAGAUACCCCUGUAGUCCAGGGUGUAAACGCUGCAGACUUGGUGUUGGGAACCCUUCGGGGGUGCUCAGUGCCGGAGAGAAGUUGUUAAGUCUGCUACUUGGGGAGUACGUCCGCAAGGAUGAAACUUAAAGGAAUUGGCGGGGGAGCACCGCUAACGGGAGGAGCGUGCGGUUUAAUUGGAUUCAACACCGGAAAACUCACCAGGGGAGACUGUUACAUGAAACCCAGACUAAUGAUCUUGGUUGAUUUUCAG